rnacentral:rRNA from 1 species
UACGUAGGUGGCAAGCGUUAUCCGGAAUUAUUGGGCGUAAAGCGCGCGUAGGCGGUUUUUUAAGUCUGAUGUGAAAGCCCACGGCUCAACCGUGGAGGGUCAUUGGAAACUGGAAAACUUGAGUGCAGAAGAGGAAAGUGGAAUUCCAUGUGUAGCGGUGAAAUGCGCAGAGAUAUGGAGGAACACCAGUGGCGAAGGCGACUUUCUGGUCUGUAACUGACGCUGAUGUGCGAAAGCGUGGGGAUCAAACAGGAUUAGAUACC